rnacentral:rRNA from 1 species
UACAUGGGGUGCAAACGUUGCUCGGAAUUAUUGGGCGUAAAGCGCACGUAGGCGGCUUUGCAAGUCGGAUGUGAAAUCCCUCGGCUCAACCAAGGAAGUGCAUCCGAAACUGCAGAGCUUGAGUACCAAAGAGGAUCGCGGAAUUCCCGGUGUAGAGGUGAAAUUCGUAGAUAUCGGGAGGAACACCAGUGGCGAAGGCGGCGAUCUGGGUGGAUACUGACGCUGAGGUGCGAAAGCGUGGGGAGCAAACAGGG